rnacentral:rRNA from 1 species
UUAAGCGACUAAGCGUACACGGUGGAUGCCCUGGCAGUCAGAGGCGAUGAAGGACGUGCUAAUCUGCGAUAAGCGUCGGUGAGGUGAUAUGAACCGUUAUAACCGGCGAUUUCCGAAUGGGGAAACCCAGUGUGUUUCGACACACUAUCAUUAACUGAAUCCAUAGGUUAAUGAGGCGAACCGGGGGAACUGAAACAUCUAAGUACCCCGAGGAAAAGAAAUCAACCGAGAUUCCCCCAGUAGCGGCGAGCGAACGGGGAGGAGCCCAGAGCCUGAAUCAGUGUGUGUGUUAGUGGAAGCGUCUGGAAAGGCGCGCGAUACAGGGUGACAGCCCCGUACACAAAAAUGCACAUAUUGUGAGCUCGAUGAGUAGGGCGGGACACGUGGUAUCCUGUCUGAAUAUGGGGGGACCAUCCUCCAAGGCUAAAUACUCCUGACUGACCGAUAGUGAACCAGUACCGUGAGGGAAAGGCGAAAAGAACCCCGGCGAGGGGAGUGAAAAAGAACCUGAAACCGUGUACGUACAAGCAGUGGGAGCCUCUUAAUGGGGUGACUGCGUACCUUUUGUAUAAUGGGUCAGCGACUUAUAUUCUGUAGCAAGGUUAACCGAAUAGGGGAGCCGAAGGGAAACCGAGUCUUAACUGGGCGUUAAGUUGCAGGGUAUAGACCCGAAACCCGGUGAUCUAGCCAUGGGCAGGUUGAAGGUUGGGUAACACUAACUGGAGGACCGAACCGACUAAUGUUGAAAAAUUAGCGGAUGACUUGUGGCUGGGGGUGAAAGGCCAAUCAAACCGGGAGAUAGCUGGUUCUCCCCGAAAGCUAUUUAGGUAGCGCCUCGUGAAUUCAUCUCCGGGGGUAGAGCACUGUUUCGGCAAGGGGGUCAUCCCGACUUACCAACCCGAUGCAAACUGCGAAUACCGGAGAAUGUUAUCACGGGAGACACACGGCGGGUGCUAACGUCCGUCGUGAAGAGGGAAACAACCCAGACCGCCAGCUAAGGUCCCAAAGUCAUGGUUAAGUGGGAAACGAUGUGGGAAGGCCCAGACAGCCAGGAUGUUGGCUUAGAAGCAGCCAUCAUUUAAAGAAAGCGUAAUAGCUCACUGGUCGAGUCGGCCUGCGCGGAAGAUGUAACGGGGCUAAACCAUGCACCGAAGCUGCGGCAGCGACGCUUAUGCGUUGUUGGGUAGGGGAGCGUUCUGUAAGCCUGUGAAGGUGGCCUGUGAGGGUUGCUGGAGGUAUCAGAAGUGCGAAUGCUGACAUAAGUAACGAUAAAGCGGGUGAAAAGCCCGCUCGCCGGAAGACCAAGGGUUCCUGUCCAACGUUAAUCGGGGCAGGGUGAGUCGACCCCUAAGGCGAGGCCGAAAGGCGUAGUCGAUGGGAAACAGGUUAAUAUUCCUGUACUUGGUGUUACUGCGAAGGGGGGACGGAGAAGGCUAUGUUGGCCGGGCGACGGUUGUCCCGGUUUAAGCGUGUAGGCUGAUUUUCCAGGCAAAUCCGGAAAACCAAGGCUGAGGCGUGAUGACGAGGCACUACGGUGCUGAAGCGACAAAUGCCCUGCUUCCAGGAAAAGCCUCUAAGCAUCAGGUAACAUCAAAUCGUACCCCAAACCGACACAGGUGGUCAGGUAGAGAAUACCAAGGCGCUUGAGAGAACUCGGGUGAAGGAACUAGGCAAAAUGGUGCCGUAACUUCGGGAGAAGGCACGCUGAUAUGUAGGUGAAGUCCCUCGCGGAUGGAGCUGAAAUCAGUCGAAGAUACCAGCUGGCUGCAACUGUUUAUUAAAAACACAGCACUGUGCAAACACGAAAGUGGACGUAUACGGUGUGACGCCUGCCCGGUGCCGGAAGGUUAAUUGAUGGGGUUAGCGGCAACGCGAAGCUCUUGAUCGAAGCCCCGGUAAACGGCGGCCGUAACUAUAACGGUCCUAAGGUAGCGAAAUUCCUUGUCGGGUAAGUUCCGACCUGCACGAAUGGCGUAAUGAUGGCCAGGCUGUCUCCACCCGAGACUCAGUGAAAUUGAACUCGCUGUGAAGAUGCAGUGUACCCGCGGCAAGACGGAAAGACCCCGUGAACCUUUACUAUAGCUUGACACUGAACAUUGAGCCUUGAUGUGUAGGAUAGGUGGGAGGCUUUGAAGUGUGGACGCCAGUCUGCAUGGAGCCGACCUUGAAAUACCACCCUUUAAUGUUUGAUGUUCUAACGUUGGCCCCUAAUCGGGGUUGCGGACAGUGUCUGGUGGGUAGUUUGACUGGGGCGGUCUCCUCCUAAAGAGUAACGGAGGAGCACGAAGGUUGGCUAAUCCUGGUCGGACAUCAGGAGGUUAGUGCAAUGGCAUAAGCCAGCUUGACUGCGAGCGUGACGGCGCGAGCAGGUGCGAAAGCAGGUCAUAGUGAUCCGGUGGUUCUGAAUGGAAGGGCCAUCGCUCAACGGAUAAAAGGUACUCCGGGGAUAACAGGCUGAUACCGCCCAAGAGUUCAUAUCGACGGCGGUGUUUGGCACCUCGAUGUCGGCUCAUCACAUCCUGGGGCUGAAGUAGGUCCCAAGGGUAUGGCUGUUCGCCAUUUAAAGUGGUACGCGAGCUGGGUUUAGAACGUCGUGAGACAGUUCGGUCCCUAUCUGCCGUGGGCGCUGGAGAACUGAGGGGGGCUGCUCCUAGUACGAGAGGACCGGAGUGGACGCAUCACUGGUGUUCGGGUUGUCAUGCCAAUGGCACUGCCCGGUAGCUAAAUGCGGAAGAGAUAAGUGCUGAAAGCAUCUAAGCACGAAACUUGCCCCGAGAUGAGUUCUCCCUGAGACUUAGAGUCUCCUGAAGGAACGUUGAAGACGACGACGUUGAUAGGCCGGGUGUGUAAGCGCAGCGAUGCGUUGAGCUAACCGGUACUAAUGAACCGUGAGGCUUAACCUU